GACAAUGUGGCCAAGCGGUUAAGUCGACAGACCCAAAAUCUGUUACUCUUUGGGUGCACAGGUUCGGGUCCUGCUGUUGUCU